GGAGGUAGUAGCUCAGUGGUUAAGAUUUUGGACUUUUGAUCAGAAGAUCGAGUUCAAAUCCCAACACCACCA